GGAUUAGCUCAGUUGGUAGAGCGGCUGAUUUGUAAUCAGUAGGUCGUUGGUUCAAGUCCGACAUCCG
rnacentral:tRNA from 1 species